rnacentral:rRNA from 1 species
CCUACGGGAGGCAGCAGUGAGGAAUAUUGGUCAUUGGACGAGAGUCUGAACCAGCCAAGUAGCGUGAAGGAUGACUGCCCUAUGGGUUGUAAACUUCUUUUAUAAAGGAAUAAAACGAGGCACGUGUGCCUUUUUGCAUGUACUUUAUGAAUAAGGAUCGGCUAACUCCGUGCCAGCAGCCGCGGUAAUACGGAGGAUCCGAGCGUUAUCCGGAUUUAUUGGGUUUAAAGGGAGCGUAGAUGGGUUGUUAAGUCAGUUGUGAAAGUUUGCGGCUCAACCGUAAAAUUGCAAUUGAUACUGGCAGUCGUGAGUACAGUUGAGGUAGGCGGAAUUCGUGGUGUAGCGGUGAAAUGCUUAGAUAUCACGAAGAACCCCGAUUGCGAAGGCAGCUUACUAAACUGUGACUGACAUUGAUGCUCGAAAGUGUGGGUAUCAAACAGGAUUAGAUACCCCUGUAGUC